UGUUAAGGUAAAGGACACCUGAUCUUAUAUUUAAAGCCUUUUGGAAUCCACAUUUUACACUAAAUAACUUGUUUUUCCUGGGGACAGAAAGGCACCGCACAAUAUGAAUGACCCUGCUAGUUCCAUAAUGAUUCAAAUGUCCUGAAUUAUUGAUCAAUGUUAGCAUAAUAUUAUCCAUGAAUGCUAGCAACACUCAGGAGAAAUUGACAAGAAUGUGAUCGAGAGAAGAAAGUUAAACUAUCGAUGUGCGCUGAGUCGGGAAGCAAGUUCAGGGAGUGAGUGUUAAGAAAAUAACACAACAUAAUAGAAAAAUAAGAUACACGAACAGCGCUCAGAAGUGACACAGGAACAGAAACACCGGCGGAAGUAACCAAAGGAAGUGACAUAUACAGGGAAGGUAAUCAGGGAGGUGAUGGAGUCGGCGCGUACCCCCUCCUCGGCGCGUUUGGCUCCAGCUGGAGGACACCAACCCAAGGGACGAUCCCGGGGAUCAGGAGUGGAUCGGUCACCUCUGCUGAUGCGCAGGAACCUGUCGCCGGCUGGACGCGGACGCGGGAACCUGACAGACCGGCUGAGGCAGGGGAGCCCGGCGAUCCAACCGAGGCACAAAAACCCAACGUCAUUCCUCCUGACACAAAAAACGGAUGCUUCCCGAUAUAUGCUGAGAGUUGGGAAGCAAGUUCAGGGUGUGAGUGUUUCAAUAAAUAAACACAACAUAAUACAAAAAUAAGAAGCACGAACAGAAACAAUUACGCCUGGGGAAGGAACCAAAGGAAGUGACAUGUAUAGGGAAGGUAAUCAGGGAGGUGAUUGGAGUCCAGGGUUUGGUGUAGGAGUUGUGACAAUCUCCAGGAAGCUCCAAUAUGUCCAGCUUUCUGUGGUGGAUCAGCAAAGGUGCAGAGCUGCUGUUGCCCUGAACAAUAGACUAUUAUGAGUUGUAGUGGCAAUCAAUGACUUCUGUUCUCUUAACGUCUGUCUUUCCGUGUCAUUAAACAUGAAAUCUCGA